rfam:Nomascus leucogenys chromosome 22a, whole genome shotgun sequence.
UGCAUGGCCAUUCUUAGUUGGUGGAGUAAUUUGUCUGUUUAAUUCCGAUAACAAACGAGACUCUGGCAUGCUAACUAGUUACACGACCCCCGAGCAGUCAGCAUCCCCCAACUUCUUAGAGGGACAGGUGGCAUUCAGCCACCUGAGAUUGAGCAAUAACAGGUCUGUGAUG